rnacentral:rRNA from 1 species
CUAUACAUGCAUGUCGAGCGAGGUUCUUCGGAACCUAGCGGCGAAUGGGUGAGUAACACGUGCUUAAUCUACCCUUCAGAUUGGAAUACCCAAUGGAAACAUUGGCUAAUGCCGGAUACGCAUGGAAUCGCAUGAUUCCGUUGUGAAAGGGGCCUCAAAGCCCCACUGAAGGAUGAGGGUGCGGAACAUUAGUUAGUUGGUAGGGUAAUGGCCUACCAAGACUAUGAUGUUUAGCCGGGUCGAGAGACUGAACGGCCACAUUGGGACUGAGAUACGGCCCAAACUCCUACGGGAGGCAGCAGUAGGGAAUAUUCCACAAUGAGCGAAAGCUUGAUGGAGCGACACAGCGUGCACGAUGAAGGUCUUCGGAUUGUAAAGUGCUGUUAUAAGGGAAGAACACUCAGAGGAGGAAAUGCCUUUGAGCUGACGGUACCUUGUCAGAAAGCGAUGGCUAACUAUGUGCCAGCAGCCGCGGUAAUACAUAGGUCGCAAGCGUUAUCCGGAAUUAUUGGGCGUAAAGCGUUCGUAGGCUGUUUAUUAAGUCUGGAGUCAAAUCCCGGGGCUCAACCCCGGCUCGCUUUGGAUACUGAUAAACUAGAGUUGGAUAGAGGUAAGCGGAAUUCCAUGUGAAGCGGUGAAAUGCGUAGAUAUAUGGAAGAACACCAAAGGCGAAGGCAGCUUACUGGGUCUAUACUGACGCUGAGGGACGAAAGCGUGGGGAGCAAACAGGAUUAGAUACCCUGGUAGUCCACGCCGUAAACGAUGAUCAUUAGUCGGUGGAGAGUUCACUGACGCAGCUAACGCAUUAAAUGAUCCGCCUGAGUAGUAUGCUCGCAAGAGUGAAACUUAAAGGAAUUGACGGGGACCCGCACAAGCGGUGGAGCAUGUGGUUUAAUUUGAAGAUACACGGAGAACCUUACCCACUCUUGACAUCUUCCGCAAAGCUAUAGAGAUAU